UCCAAACAGUAUAGGUACAGACUAAGCUCCUUCGUGAAGAACACCAAAUCUGACAACAGAAAAUAAUAAAAUGCCUCAUAGGAGAAAGACUCUACUUUUAACAUUUCUGACAGUUCUCUGAAACUUCAACUUUGAUCAUGAAGAGAGAUGCUCCAAAAUGUAAAUCAGACACACCCAGGGGAUCAAUACUUUGUAUCCUUCAAUCCAAUCAAGUUGACACUCAAUAUUAACCAUCACGGGAG